CCAUCCCGAACACGGAAGUUAAGCCCUCCAGCGCCGAUGGUAGUUGGGGCCAGCGCCCCUGCAAGAGUAGGUCGCUGCUAGGC
rnacentral:rRNA from 1 species